GCGCUGGAUCACUCGUAGAAUCAGGUCCCAAGUUCAAUUUUCCCAUGUCUAUGAAGUUCUGGAUGAUGUCCUUGGCGGCAUGGCACUCCUCGGUGCUAUGACCAAGUCUCCUAUGAUAUUGACAAUAAUUGGGCUUGCUUCCCAUCCAAGUUUCCUCGAUCUUUUCGGCAUGGGUAGCUCGAUUAUCCCCUCUGAUAGGACAGUCUCACGCAGCUUGGGGAUCAUACACUUGUCAAAGGAGUAAUCCUCAUGUCGGCCUUAGCUGGAGGAGUGCAUGGUAUUUGUUAUGACACUUGAUACUUGAUCAUCAUCUUUGACUGAUGCGAAGAGUCCAGAUAUACUUACGUGGUGCUUGAGAAAACCUUCAAUUUGAACUGCCUUAUCGACCAUCUUAACGAAUGUAUUGGGCCAUGAUGAAGUGACAUAACGAGCCAAUUCUAGGUGCAUCCCGUCUAUGCAGUACUCUAUCUCUUGCGGCUCACCUAUUAGUGUGGCCAGAUUGAUGGCCAUAUUGCGCCACCUUUUGAUGUACUCGUUCACUGGCUCGUGUGGCUUUUGUUUCACCUCAAAGAGUUCUAAGAAAGUGCGAGUUGCAAUUUCUUUUCUAUGUCCCAGAAGCGCUUAAGGAACUCUUCCUCCAUUUGUGCCCAUGAUGAGAUUGACCCUGGUGGUAACCGAGAGUACCAUUUGAAUGCUGCCACCGUAAGGGUUCCCAAAAAUAGAUGCUCAUUGUUCGCUGUAUCGCCACAAGCUGCAAUGAAAUGGGCUAUGUGUUGCUGCGAUGAGCCAGUACCAUCAAACUUGGGGAAGUCAGGUCUUUGAUAGCUCAAUGGAAAUGGAGUUUGGUCAACAUAUGCUUGGUAAGGUUUUGAUAGCGAUUUGUCUCUUCCAUCACUGGGAUACUGUACUUUUUCAAUUCUUCAGCUACCAUGCCUUUCACUGAUUCUUCAUCCCAACCUAAGCUGAUGAGGAGGAGACCGACAAUGAGGGAAGCGAGGGUGGGAGUGGCUCUUCUCUUGAUGGUGUUGUUUCAAUGACCAGACAAAGUGCUUGAGAGACGGUAAAAAGGGCUUGGUGCCACUAGGGGGUACGAGACACCAAUACCUCUUGGCGCAAAGGUUCCAUUGCUUCAUCUUUUGACUUCAUCUCAGCUUGUAAUCACCUUAAUAUGGCUUUGAGUUGUGCAAUCUCGUCUCCAUAGGAUUUUAGUACUUCGUCGAUCACUAUAGCUUCAAUAACUGCCAUAACUUGAGGACUUUUCUUCUAUUUGCCCAUUACAUGCCUCAGAGCUUACAAUCUUGGAUUCGACUGCUGCAGCUUCAUUAACAUCGUUGGUGAG
rnacentral:lncRNA from 1 species